CUACGUGCCAGCAGCCGCGGUAAUACGUAGGGCGCGAGCGUUGUCCGGAAUUAUUGGGCGUAAAGAGCUUGUAGGCGGUUUGUCGCGUCUGCUGUGAAAGGCCGGGGCUUAACUCCGUGUAUUGCAGUGGGUACGGGCAGACUAGAGUGCAGUAGGGGAGACUGGAAUUCCUGGUGUAGCGGUGGAAUGCGCAGAUAUCAGGAGGAACACCGAUGGCGAAGGCAGGUCUCUGGGCUGUAACUGACGCUGAGAAGCGAAAGCAUGGGGAGCGAACAGGAUUAGAUACCCUGGUAGUCCAUGCCGUAAACGUUGGGCACUAGGUGUGGGGGACAUUCCACGUUUUCCGCGCCGUAGCUAACGCAUUAAGUGCCCCGCCUGGGGAGUACGGCCGCAAGGCUAAAACUCAAAGGAAUUGACGGGGACCCGCACAAGCGGUGGAUGAUGUGGAUUAAUUCGAUGCAACGCGAAGAACCUUACCUGGUCUUGACAU
rnacentral:rRNA from 1 species